rnacentral:rRNA from 1 species
GAUGAACGCUGGCGGCGUGCCUAAUACAUGCAAGUCGAACGGAGAGAUUGUAGCAAUACGGUCUCUUAGUGGCGAACGGGUGAGUAACGCGUUGGUGACCUGCCCCGAAAAGGGGGAUAACAGUCCGAAAGGAUUGCUAAUACCCCAUACGGUCAUGGAGUUUAGAAGUCUAUGACCAAAGGCGAAAGUCGUUUCGGGAGGGGCCUGCGUCCCAUCAGCUAGUUGGUAAGGUAACGGCUUACCAAGGCGACGACGGGUAGGGGACCUGAGAGGGUGGCCCCCCACAAUGGAACUGAAACACGGUCCAUACACCUACGGGUGGCAG